rnacentral:rRNA from 1 species
CCUACGGGAGGCAGCAGUGGGGAAUUUUGGACAAUGGGCGCAAGCCUGAUCCAGCCAUGCCGCGUGCGGGAAGAAGGCCUUCGGGUUGUAAACCGCUUUUGUCAGGGAAGAAAAGGUUCUGGUUAAUACCUGGGACUCAUGACGGUACCUGAAGAAUAAGCACCGGCUAACUACGUGCCAGCAGCCGCGGUAAUACGUAGGGUGCAAGCGUUAAUCGGAAUUACUGGGCGUAAAGCGUGCGCAGGCGGUUAUGCAAGACAGAGGUGAAAUCCCCGGGCUCAACCUGGGAACUGCCUUUGUGACUGCAUAGCUAGAGUGCGGCAGAGGGGGAUGGAAUUCCGCGUGUAGCAGUGAAAUGCGUAGAUAUGCGGAGGAACACCGAUGGCGAAGGCAAUCCCCUGGGCCUGCACUGACGCUCAUGCACGAACGACGGUGGGGAGGACGAACGAGGAGUUAGUAUACCCGUACGGUAGUACCGACCGACCCUAACCGACUAGUCACUGGUUGGUUGGGUAGGGUUUCGUUC